rnacentral:rRNA from 1 species
UACGGAGGGGGCUAGCGUUGUUCGGAAUUACUGGGCGUAAAGCGCGCGUAGGCGGCUUUGUAAGUUAGAGGUGAAAGCCCGGAGCUCAACUCCGGAAUUGCCUUUAAGACUGCAUCGCUAGAAUCAUGGAGAGGUUAGUGGAAUUCCGAGUGUAGAGGUGAAAUUCGUAGAUAUCAGGAGGAACACCAGUGGCGAAGGGCGGCUUCCUGGACACUAACUGACGCUGAGACGGCGAAAAGCGUGGGGGAGCAA